GGGAGAGUGCGGGGAGACCGCGUUUAGAGGAUCAGUGGCGGCGGCACCCGCGGCCCCGCGCGGCGCGGACGGCGGGCAGCACCGUGCCUGGGCCCCCUCCUGCUCCGAACAGCCCAAGGAGCAGAAAAGAGUGACAAGGCCGUGAAAGGAGGCGCCUGGGGCGUAGCCGGCUCUAGGAGGUUACCCCAUGCGGAGUACACACCCUGCUACACCCAUCCCGGAGGAGGGAGGAAAUAGCCAGCCCGGAGCACCCCUGGACUCUGCCGGUCCCAGAGGCCACGCAAACUCCGCCCAGACUCGGAGACAGGCCCUGGCACCAGGCUCUGGAGACCCCACUUCCUGACUCCAGCGGUGCGAAGAUGAUACAAUACUUUCUGGUGCUGACAUUCAGCUGUCUCCCAAACAGGUUGGCUGAUAGCCCUGCCCGUCCUUGAAGAGGGGCCGGGGGCUGUCUAAAAAGACAGUUCUGAUGACUGCUUCGUUGGUAGUGGCAGAGGAUUUGGGGCACAGGGGUGGAGUUAAGUCCAAUUGCUGUUUAAAUUGGACUUGGCCUCCUUUAUUUUACAGUCCUAAGGGGUCUCCAUAGGAGAAAAAGUAGCGAGAGAAACUUAGAACACAGGAAAGCAAGCAUAGGGAAGAGUUUCUUGUCUCAAUCUUGGUACUGCCGUGCCAAAAUGAAGCCCAGGGAUGGUUAAAAACGGAUCCUAGGGACCGGGCACCUUGGCUCAGGCCUGUAAUCCCAGCACUUUGGGAGAUCAAGAUGGGAGGAUUGCUUGAGGCUAGGAGUUCGAGGCCAGCCUGGCCAACAUAGUGAGACCUCAUCUCCAAAAAUAAAAACUUAAAAAAAAAUUUAAAAAACAAAAACAAAAAUACAGAUCCUAGGGAACAGAGUUUUGAGGUUCCCUGUGGGAUCUUGGCCUGACUCUUGGGAGAUGAAGAAGUCCUUGGCAAGUUUGAAAAGAUCUACAAGUGCCAUCUAUUCAGGGGACUAAAUGUGAUUUCUUUUCACUGCCCAGUGGCUGGUAAGGAAGGAAGCAUUUUGCAUUUUCAGCUUGUAGGAUGGUUAUUGGUGGUCCUACCAUCUUGCUCAUGUUCAAGUUUGGUCGUGUAGAUGAAGAGCCCAGCUUCCCAGCUCUUAGUUUUUCUUUUCCCUCAGGCCAUUCAUAAUUUAGCUAACAUUCUAGUCCAUUGACCAGCAUGCAUUUUGAAAGGUGAGCUGGCAAGCCUGUAACUGUGUGCAAGGUUGUUCUCAUUUAGGCUCCAGGAAGGAUAUAGUUUCCCCAUAAGAAAGAAAAGUGGGCGAGAGGCUGAGGUGGGAGGUCACUUGAGUCCAGGAGGCAAAGAUUGCAGUG
ensembl:lncRNA LHX1-DT LHX1 divergent transcript